rnacentral:lncRNA from 13 species
AUGGUGUCCCCAGUGCGGGUGCAUAGCCCGGUGCGGUAUAUUUCAGCUCCACGUAUCGGCCGGGCUAGAUUGAGCGUCGAGCUCUACGCAUCUGGCCGCCAGUGCGUCUCCUUGGACUGGCUUACAUGGCACCAGCCUUGUGCACGGUGUCCCCGGUUCGCCUGCAUAGCCCAGUGCGGGCUAUUCCACCUCGCCGCACUGGCAGGGCGACCGGGACCAUUCAACCAGGUAAGGUUGGGCAGGCUCGGUGCUCCAGAGCUCCAGUGCGCCUGCACGGUCCGGUCUAUCCGUCACCACCUCCACGCACCAGCCCUCCGGUGGCAGCUCCCCGCACCAGGCUGUCUCUCCGGCCCAUCCUUACGGGGGCUUCCUCUCCAGCGCUGCCGGAGUCUCCCGCCUAUUCGGCGCUGCCAGUGCCACCCGUCUGCUCAGCCCCGCCAGUGCCGCUCGUCUGCCCAGCGCUGCCAGUGCCGCUCGUCUGCCCAGCGCUGCCAGUGCUGCUCGUCUGCCCAGCGCCGCCAGUGCUGCCCGUCUGCCCAGCGCCGCCAGUGCCGCCCGUCAGCCAGGGGCCGCCAGUGCCGCCAGUCAGCCAGAUCUGCCAGUCAGCCAGACUCUUCCAGGUCUGCCAGUCAACCAGACUCUUCCAGGUCUGCCAGUCAACCAGACUCUUCCAGGUCUGCCAGUCAACCAGACUCUUCCAGGUCUGCCAGUCAACCAGACUCUUCCAGGUCUGCCUGUCAACCAGACUCUUCCAGGUCUGCCAGUCAACCAGACUCUUCCAGGUCUGCCAGUCAGCCAGGGGCCGCCAGUGCCGCCAGUCAGCCAGGGGCCGCCAGUCAGCCAGGAGCAGCCGCCCCUCUGUCCCGAGCAGCCGCCCCUCUGUCCCGAGCAGCCGCCCCUCUGUCCCGAGCAGCCGCCCCUCUGUCCCGAGCUGCCGCCCCUCGGUCCCGAGCUGCCGCCCCUCUGUCCCGAGCUGCCGCCCCUCUGUCCAUUGAGAAGAGUUGCCAUGGUGAGGAGGCCACGGAAGCGGACAAGGUGGGGGACUAA